rnacentral:rRNA from 1 species
GAUGAACGCUGGCGGCGUGCCUAAUACAUGCAAGUCGAGCGAACAGACGAGGAGCUUGCUCCUCUGCCGUUAGCGGCGGACGGGUGAGUAACACGUGGAUAACCUACCUCUAAGACUGGGAUAACAUCGGGAAACCGGAGCUAAUAACGGAUAAUAUAUUGAACCGCAUGGUUCAAUAGUGAAAGACGGUUUUGCUGUCACUUAUAGAUGGAUCCGCGCCGCAUUGUCUACUUGGUAAGGUAACGGCUUACCAAGGCAACGAUGCGUAGCCGACCUGAGAGGGUGAUCGGCCACACUGGAACUGAGACACGGUCCAGACUCCUACGGGAGGCAGCAGUAGGGAAUCUUCCGCAAUGGGCGAAAGCUUGACGGAGCAACGCCGCGUGAGUGAUGAAGGUCUUCGGAUCGUAAAACCCUGUUAUUAGGGAAGAACAAAUGUGUAAUUAACUAUGCACGUCUUGACGGUACCUAAUCAGAAAGCCACGGCUAACUUCGUG